CACCUACGGGGGGCAGCAGUGGGGAAUAUUGGACAAUGGGCGAAAGCCUGAUCCAGCAAUGCCGCGUGUGUGAAGAAGGCCUUCGGGUUGUAAAGCACUUUAGUCAGGGAAGAAAAAGCUCAAACUAAUAUUUUGAGUGUUGACGGUACCUGAAGAAUAAGCACCGGCUAACUCUGUGCCAGCAGCCGCGGUAAUACAGAGGGUGCAAGCGUUAAUCGGAUUUACUGGGCGUAAAGCGUGUGUAGGUGGUUGGUCAAGUCGGGUGUGAAAUCCCCGGGCUCAACCUGGGAAUUGCUUCCGAGACUGAGCGACUAGAGUACGGUAGAGGGCGGUGGAAUUUCCGGUGUAGCGGUGAAAUGCGUAGAUAUCGGAAGGAACACCAAUGGCGAAGGCAGCCGCCUGGGCCUGUACUGACACUGAGACACGAAAGCGUGGGGAUCAAACAGGAUUAGAUACCCUAGUAGUCU
rnacentral:rRNA from 1 species